rnacentral:sRNA from 1 species
UUUCCUCGCCUUUCCCUUCUUCCAUCUCCUCCUCGUCGUCGCGGCGCGCGAGCUAGGGUUUCUCGACUCGCCCUCGCCGAUCCGGUCAGCCAUGUCGAAGCAAGGAGGGAAGGCCAAGCCCCUCAAGGCGCCCAAGGCCGAGAAGAAGGAGUACGACGAGGUAUGCUGCUGUGCUGUGUGACCUUUGCUCCCGAUUCGUGGUUCCGUCUACCGAUUGAUCGUUUCGGGUUAGGGGUUAGCGAUCCGCGCUUGUGUUUUGACUGUGCAGGCCACCGUGUUGUAGAUCGGUUCGUGUCUGGGGUAGUUCAUAGUGGUUUUAUCCUUUAGUUGGUUAGUUGAAGGUGAAUUUGUAGAAUUAUCAUGCGCGAUGCUGUUUGUCCUUUAAAUCUGCGUAUUGACUUGUGGCCUUGUCCUCAGUUAGGGAUCCGUUCGGUUAAUCCCCACGAGGAAGGGACUGGAGGGGGGAUUGAGUAGGUGUGGAAGUGGAAUCAAUCCCCUUAAAUCCCCGUGGCGGAGGGAUUGGCUGAUAUGCCAUCAUAUUUACUUACAUUCCUUGGAUAUGUUGUGUUAGGGGGUUAUUAACUUAUUAUUGGAUAAUGAUUGUGUUAAAAGCUUGUUCUGUUCAUGAAGUCCUAGUUUCUAGGGCAAAUUACUUUCUUCUAACUACUUUGUCAACAUGAAAUGAGCAACCUUAUAAUAUGUUUGAUGCUAACCUUAUAAUAUGUUUGAUGCUAUCAUGUAUGGAAAUCAUUUGUUCAUGGUCUGGAAUUGUGUGCUUGAUGCUUUCACCUUUUCUCACCUUGCAAAACUGACCUGGUUGAUGAUGUUUGGAAAAUUUGCAUUCGGUAGCAGUGUAGCAUCAACUUAUCUCACCUUCUAAAAUUGUGCUAGCUGUUAUUUUUGGGUGAUGUCCCCAGUCACAGUGAGCGUAUGGUCUUACUUGUCCGAUGGGAAUACAAAGAAUAUGAUCUCACUCGUCCUAAAUUUCUUCUAUCUAAUUAAACUUAAUUUGUCUUGAUAUACUUCUAUGGGUUUAAGUUGUCUUGAAUGGAUCAUUAGUCUAUGCUUAUGGUCAUCUUAAUUUUCAACUGAACUAAGACCUUAAAGGCUUUGAAGAAAUGAGCAUGUGUUCAGUGUAUGAGCCUUUGGCUUGAUUUGACUAUUGAUAAUUGAUAACAAGUACUACUAGUAUUUACUAUUGCUUGAUACUCCAGUUCCACCAGCUUUCUUGUGAAACAUAAUCUACAUCUCUUGAAGGGGAACUGCAUUGCUAGAAAAAGAAAAAUAGUGGUGCUUUAUUUUUUUUCCUGGGAAUAACAUGUCGCUGCCUGGCUUUAUUAGAAUCAAGCAGCGCAAAAUCAGAUAAGCAUUUUGAAUUUGCUGUUUGUCCAAGUUGAGAUGAUGUGGCCAGUAUAGAUUUGGUUUAACAAAGUGAUUUGGAUGGAUGUAAUUGUAGUUUAUGAAUUGUUAAUAAUGUGUGGUAUUGUAAGUAGCGCUUUAUCUGGAAAACUAGUGCAUAUUUGAUUGAAGCAAUGAUGAUAUAAGGAACUUGAAUGGUUAGUUGCAGACUUGUAGUUCUGAUUUUGUUGCUUUCUGUAGAGUGAUCUCGCGUAUCUGCAGAAGAAGAAAGAUGAGGAAAAGGCACUGAAGGAGCUUAAGGCCAAGGCAGGACAGAAGGGUGCACUGGGAGGCUCUGGUCUGAAGAAGAGCGGGAAGAAAUGAGGCUGAUACCAAUCUGUAAUGCCUGAAAAAUGAUAAACCAGCUACCUGUCUGUGUUACUUCACUAUGUGCGGAUGUAACAAAACUACCUUUAAGCAUGUUAUGCAUUAAGCAAUGUUGCAGUUGGUUGCUUGAUCCGAAGAUGUUUCGGGCUCUCUUCUGCUAGCUAUGAUACAUCUGGUCCCGUAUGAUGAUAAUAUAACAUAACUCAUGGUG